GUUUGACUCCUUAAUCACAGCUGCUUAUUUGGCUUACAACAGUGGAUGCUAAACUACUUAAGCAAAGGUAUUCACUGAAACGAGUUGUUCGGAAGAAUCGGUUCUUUAAAUCGAAUCGAAUCGUUAGCAACAUUGCCUAACAUCAUUAGCAUCAAAGCUGGUAGUGGUGGAUAUAUUUAGGGACAGAGAAACAGACGUUUUACGAGUUCUUGCAACCAUCUUUAAGAACGGGAAAGAACACAAGAAACUGCAUUUGAAUAUUUAAAAGUGUGUUUGGGCCAUUUGUACUUUCAAUACAUUCUUAAUCCAUUAUUCAUUACAAAAUAUUGAAUAUUUUAAUACGUUUUUGUACCUUUACUGUUAAACUGUUUAAUUUAUUACUUGUCACAAAAAAUGUUAUUUAAACAUUUGUAAUAUUAUACAGUAAAAUAAAAUG